AACUGAAUCCACCGGAAAAGAAAACAAGAAUGAAGAAUGAUGAUCUCGGACUCUUGAGAAUCUUCACAAUGAAUCACCGGAAUGACACAGAAGAGAAGAUAGCGGAAGCAAUACUGAAAAGAAGAGCACUUGGAUGAUAAUUGAAUCAUUGAAGAAAAGGGGGGAGGGAGGGGAAAACAAAGACAACCUGGGACAUAUGAGACAAAAUCCAGAAGGAAAUGAUAGAUUCAUCUUGCAAAUCUUGGGGAAGAUAUAAUAAACUGAAGAGAAGCACUCCGGAUGGAAAAGAAUUGACACGACGAUUCCGGUUGAAAAGAAUUGAUAAGACAACUUGAUUGAGCAAAAGAAUUAAUUAGCAUUCCCAUAGAAAUAUGAGAACACCGCUUGAAAAGAUAUGAACUCACCACUUGACAUCGAAAUAACUUAAAUUACCGUACUCCAACAAAACAAGGUUGAGGCUUAUAAAACAAGCCAGAACAAAUUCAUGACAGAGAUUCUGCUCAAUAUUUUCGUGGAUGAGGUUCGCACGGGCUCUAUCCUAAAGUGGCCAUCAUGUACAAGUCAGUGCACACGACAUACAAAGCGUCCCCGAGUCGUAGUAAGCUACAAGGUAUCUUUAAGACACAACGUGAACCACUGUAAAACGACCGUGAACAAAUGAAUCCACUAGAUGUUGAACCCCAACCUCACAUCAUGCAUCUGUUGGAAGAUUGUUCUAUAAGUGACUACUUGAAUUCCCACCUAAGAACUCCCGAAAUUUCUGGUCAUGCAAUCGGGUCCACGGAUACAAGGAGAAAUUCAUCACUCAACUCUUACCAUCUAACUCGUCCAGUGUAUCACAUCCGUCAACACAUAACCAGAAUCUCGGAACUCAUCUAUCUCACACCCUCGUAAUCACAAUGAUACUAAAUAUGGCGAUACAUCUGGACCUAUCUGCACCAGUACUAGGGAAGCCGGACUGCUCUCACCACUACUAGUAUUGACGCAAUUUUGAACAUCCUUCGUCCCGAGAUACUAAGAAAUUUGAAUGAUAACAAUGUGCUCAAGAAUCCCCUGGAGCUCAACUCCCCGGAAGAAAUCAAGUCCGAAAGGAGGCACCAAGACAGAACUCCGUUAGAUCGACAUCAUAUAGAUUCCAAAAAAUAUCCGCGUGAUCCUAAAUUUUUUUAGUAAGAAGAGGAGUGGAAUUAAAAUUCUUACGUCAAGAUUCCUCACGAGAGCUUAGAAGAGGAGAAAAAAUAAUCCUACUCUCCGGUAUAUAACUACACUCAAAGCAGUUUUUCACUAGACUCGACUCGGCCAAGUUCGAUCAAUCAAGGGGGCUCCUAAGUCGGUACUGCUCUGAUACCAACUUGUAACGCCCAAGCUUCGAUUCUAUCUUUAAUUUGGCGCAAGGUCCUCGACAGGGAUAGAAG
rnacentral:lncRNA from 1 species